UACGGAAGGGGCUAGCGUUGUUCGGAAUCAUUGGGCGUAAAGGGCGCGUAGGUGGUUCUGUAUGUCUACCGUGAAAGCGUACGGCUCAACCGUAUUUUGUCGGUAGAAACUGCAGGACUUGAGGCUGGGAGGGGCUGGUGGAAUUCCCUGUGUAGCGGUGAAAUGCGUAGAGAUGGGGGAGAACACUCGUGGCGAAGGCGGCCAGCUAGACCAGUUCUGACACUGAGGCGCGACAGCGUGGGGAGCAAACAGG
rnacentral:rRNA from 1 species